rnacentral:rRNA from 1 species
AUUGAACGCUGGCGGCAGGCCUAACACAUGCAAGUCGAGCGGAUGAAGAGGGCUUGCUCUCUGAUUCAGCGGCGGACGGGUGAGUAAUGCCUAGGAAUCUGCCUGGUAGUGGGGGACAACGUUUCGAAAGGAACGCUAAUACCGCAUACGUCCUACGGGAGAAAGUGGGGGAGCUUCGGACCUCACGCUAUCAGAUGAGCCUAGGUACGAUUAGCUAGUUGGUGAGGUAAAGGCUCACCAAGGCGACGAUCGUUAACUGGUCUGAGAGGAUGAUCAGUCACACUGGAACUGAGACACGGUCCAGACUCCUACGGGAGGCAGCAGUGGGGAAUAUUGGACAAUGGGCGAAAGCCUGAUCCAGCCAUGCCGCGUGUGUGAAGAAGGUCUUCGGAUUGUAAAGCACUUUAAGUUGGGAGGAAGGGCAGUAAGUUAAUACCUUGCUGUUUUGACGUUACCGACAGAAUAAGCACCGGCUAACUUCGUGCCAGCCGCCGCAGUAAAAC